rnacentral:rRNA from 1 species
UACGGAGGAUCCGAGCGUUAUCCGGAUUUAUUGGGUUUAAAGGGUGCGUAGGCGGCCUGUUAAGUCAGGGGUGAAAGACGGUAGCUCAACUAUCGCAGUGCCCUUGAUACUGAUGGGCUUGAAUGUACUAGAGGUAGGCGGAAUGUGACAAGUAGCGGUGAAAUGCAUAGAUAUGUCACAGAACACCAAUUGCGAAGGCAGCUUGCUAUGGUAUAAUCGACGCUGAGGCACGAAAGCGUGGGGAUCAAACAGG